UUCCGGUUGAUCCUGCCGGACCUGACUGCUAUCGGAUUGAUACUAAGCCAUGCGAGUCAUUGUAGUAAUACAAGGCAGACGGCUCAGUAACGCGUAGUCAACCUACCCUAUGGACGAGGAUAAUCUCGGGAAACUGAGAAUAAUACUCGAUAGACCAUUAUGCCUGGAAUGGUUUAUGGUUGAAACGAUUCGUCGCCAUAGGAUGGGACUGCGGCCUAUCAGCUUGUUGGUGAGGUAAUGGCCCACCAAGGCGAUUACAGGUACGGGCUCUGAGAGGAGAAGCCCGGAGAUGGGUACUGAGACAAGGACCCAGGCCCUAUGGGGCGCAGCAGGCGAGAAAACUUUGCAAUGUGCGAAAGCACGACAAGGUUAAUCCGAGUGAUUUCUGCUAAAGAAAUCUUUUGCAAGUCAUAAAACCACUAGUGAAUAAGGGGUGGGCAAGUUCUGGUGUCAGCCGCCGCGGUAAAACCAGCACCUCAAGUGGUCAGGAGGAUUAUUGGGCCUAAAGCAUCCGUAGCCGGCUCUGUAAGUUUUCGGUUAAAUCCAUGUGCUCAACGCAUGGGCUGCCGAAAAUACUGCAUAGCUAGGGAGUGGGAGAGGUAGACGGUACUCGGUAGGAAGGGGUAAAAUCCUUUGAUCUAUUGAUGACCACCUGUGGCGAAGGCGGUCUACCAGAACACGUUCGACGGUGAGGGAUGAAAGCUGGGGGAGCAAACCGGAUUAGAUACCCGGGUAGUCCCAGCUGUAAACGAUGCAGACUCGAUGAUGCAUUGGCAUAUAGCCAGUGCAGUGUCGCAGGGAAGCCGUUAAGUCUGCCGCCUGGGAAGUACGUACGCAAGUAUGAAACUUAAAGGAAUUGGCGGGGGAGCACCACAAGGGGUGAAGCCUGCGGUUCAAUUGGAGUCAACGCCGGG
rnacentral:rRNA from 1 species